rnacentral:tRNA from 1 species
GCGGGUGUAGUGUAGUGGUAAUCAUGUACGCUUCCCAAUCGGGCUUAGCGUGAGGUCCGGGGUUCGAACCCCCGUGCCCGCA